rnacentral:miRNA from 2 species
CGUGAAGAGCUCGCCGGCGGC